AUUGAACGCUGGCGGCAUGCCGUACACAUGCAAGUCGAACGGCAGCACGGGAGCAAUCCUGGUGGCGAGUGGCGAACGGGUGAGUAAUAUAUCGGAACGUGCCCAGUCGUGGGGAUAACGUAGCGAAAGCUACGCUAAUACCGCAUACGAUCUAUGGAUGAAAGCGGGGGAUCGCAAGACCUCGCGCGAUUGGAGCGGCCGAUAUCAGAUUAGGUAGUUGGUGAGGUAAAGGCUCACCAAGCCGACGAUCUGUAGCUGGUCUGAGAGGACGACCAGCCACACUGGGACUGAGACACGGCCCAGACUCCUACGGGAGGCAGCAGUGGGGGAAUUUUUGGACAAUGGGCGCAAGCCUGAUCCAGCAAUGCCGCGUGCAGGAUGAAGGCCUUCGGUGUAACGUGCUUUAUACUAGGAAGAAACCCGUACCCUACCGUACGUGGGUAGGCGUU
rnacentral:rRNA from 1 species